AUGAGGAAUGUUGUAUAGAGCGCUUUGAGUACUCCGGGAGAGUAGAAAAGCGCUAUAUAAGAAUCAGUCCAUUUACCAUUUCACAGAUUAAAAUACAGAGUUUUUAGUCACCUUAAAACCAACUACUUUUCACUGUGCUGUAUAUUGUGAAUGUGCCUUAGGCUAAAGUGAAGAGUUUUUCUAAGACCAUUGCAUGAGCUCAGGCUUUUCUGAAUGAAUCAUGUAAUAGUCACAGCUGUGUUUCACACACAAGAAUAUUAUGUCAUCUGUAACAUUGAGCAGACUGACAAAUGGUUCUAUAGCAAGUCAGGUCAUAGGCUUUAUUUGUACUGUAGAACUGUUUCGUUGUAGCCCAUUUUAUGUUGUACUUCAGUGUCUAUCAAUAGGUAAACUGUACUCUAUCAAACAUUUAAACUCUUACUUGAUAAGUCAUUGUUUCUCUCCAGAGUCUCUGUACUAAGUACUUUACUAUGUACUUUAGUACUUUAGGCUCCACUCUGACUAUCUAAGAAAAAAAUGAUGUUGGUGCAUGAGAUGGACAAGUUUUCAGUGUGGCUGUGAGUGAGGCCUGACAAAUUAUCUGAACAGAAGAUUAUAAAAUGUAAUGAAUAUAAGAUCAGGGUGUCUUUAGUCACGAGAAAAUUUUACAUUUCUAAAGUUAUAAGUAAACCUGGUCCUUACUUUACAUGAUAUUCAUUAAAACUUUCCUUAAACUAAACUUUACUACUGUAUUUUCACGACUAUAAGGCGCAUAUAAAAGUCAUAGAUUUUCUUCAAAAAGUGUGGCGCGCCCUAUAGUGCAGUGCGCCCUGUGUGUGUUGUAAGGAGGACGUAGUAGAGAACACCAUGAGAACGCUAAAAGGUGAAGUGUGGGCGUUGACUUUAUAUACAGUCGCACAUACAUACCUGUAUAAAAGAACAGGUAUGUGCAUUAUGCAGAACAUCGUUGUUUUAACAACCCUGAAAAUGGCAAAGAGACAUGCUUAUGAAGCACAGUUUAAACUGAAGGCCAUCAGCUACGUGGAGGAACAUGGAAAUCGAGCAGCCGCGAGAGAAUUUAAGAUUAAUGAAUCGAUGGUUCGCAAGUGGAGGAAGCUGGAAAACAAGCUCCGGCAGGUCAAGAAAACGCAGACAUAAGGCGAGGUGGCCCGAGUUGGAGGAAAGACUCGAGCAGUGGAUCAUCGAGCAAAGAACGAGUGGGAGAAGCGUUUCGACUGUCACCAUUCGGCUAAAAGCAGUUUCGCUAGCAGAAGAAAUGAAAAUUGAACAUUUCCAAGGAGGCCCGUCUUGGUGCUUUCGUUUCAUGAAACGGUGCCAUUUUUCCAUCCGGACCAGGACUACGGUAGCGCAGCAACUUCCAGCGGAUUAUAAUCAGGGUUCGUACAGGCGCUUGAAAUCCUUGAAAAUUCUAAUAUCGUCUUUUCAAGGUUUGAAAAGUGCUUGAAUUUCAGAUGUGGUGCUUAAAAGUGCUUGAAAAUGUAACUGUAUUUCCUUCACAAUAAAUAACUAUCUGUGAAUAUAUUUCUCUAUCUGAUAAGAAAACUAAUGAGUUGCAAAAUGUAAAAGCAAAAUUUCCCCGCCUGGGCUGCCUUGCGUCUGUGUCAAUAUGUGACCCGCCCCUCCCUCAGACAGUCGGGCAUGAGUGCACUAACAUACCUGUAGGUUGCUGUUUUAAUGAGUGUUUGAUGGAAAACAACAAUGGCGGAGUUUGCGUUCUCCAGUCGCAUGAUAGGUGAGUCCUAGUAAAUAAUUUUCCAGUACGCGUACGUUACACAUGCUAUUUUUUUUUAAAAUUAUGAUUAUUAUUUUGCUAGCUAUCAAACUCGCUGGAGAAAUGAUUGAAAUGCACUGAGUGUGAUGCAGUAUGGCAGCGCUAUUAUGGAAUAUGCUGUAAACUUAGCUAACAUUUACUUAGCAGUAAUAUGAGUUAAUUUACUCAAGUGAAAGCUUUAAACAUUAGCCCGAUACAUAACUAGCUAACUUAAGGCUUUCUGAUUAACCCUCUGGGGUCGACGGACCCAGAGUCUCCAUUUCAACUUGGGUCGAACGUGCGGACUUCAAACUAUAUACCAGUUUUUAAAUUGUGUUGAUAGGCCACGUAGAACCGAUUUUUUGCGGGGGGUUUCUGAGUAAAACAGUGGCGUUUACUCCGGGAAGAAACGGUAAAAACAGCGUUUUCUAAGGAGAGCGCUAGCAAACACGCUUUGCCUGUGAGUGAAAAAAGAAAAAACACUCCUUCCCUAUUGGUGGAAAAAUGUACCAUGUCGACCAAUCAAAAAUUGAUACGGCAACAUGUGGUAUUUGGUUGUUUGGGAAGAGAGGGGAAGUUUUA